rnacentral:rRNA from 1 species
AUUGAACGCUGGCGGCAUGCUUUACACAUGCAAGUCGAACGGCAGCGGGGGCUUCGGCCUGCCGGCGAGUGGCGAACGGGUGAGUAAUGCAUCGGAACGUGCCCAGUCAUGGGGGAUAACUACGCGAAAGCGUAGCUAAUACCGCAUACGCCCUGAGGGGGAAAGUGGGGGAUCUUCGGACCUCACGUGAUUGGAGCGGCCGAUGUCAGAUUAGCUAGUUGGUGAGGUAAAGGCUCACCAAGGCGACGAUCUGUAGCGGGUCUGAGAGGAUGAUCCGCCACACUGGGACUGAGACACGGCCCAGACUCCUACGGGAGGCAGCAGUGGGGAAUUUUGGACAAUGGGCGCAAGCCUGAUCCAGCCAUGCCGCGUGAGUGAAGAAGGCCUC